rnacentral:lncRNA from 1 species
UGAAGUUUUGAACAAGCUGAGGUUCAUAGUUAUGUGCUACUUCUGCAUUCAAGAAGCUUAUUCAUUAAGGUACUACACUAUCUCUUAUUGCUCUUUAAAAAGCCUUCAUUAUCCUCUCAAUUAUCCAAAAGUGUAUCCAAUAACCUGUGUCCAUUGGUUUUGACUUGGUUGUAUCUAUAAUUUAAACUAUGUUUCUUGCAAAGCAUACUAUUAGAUCUUUUGUAUUGCAUCUGUAUCUAACACAAAUCAUGUAUAUUCAGGAUACAGAUGCGUCAUUUGUCUCAACAGCUCAACUUUAUACUACAUAUACAUAGUCAACGAUGUACUACAUUAAUAUACUCAUCUUCGUAGAACAAUGAGCUUAAUCAAAUAUCUGAACUGAUUCUAUAUUACUAGAACAAUUAGCUUAAUCAAAUCUCUGAACUGAUUCUUACUGAGAUGAAAGAAAAAAUUGAAAGCAUUUGUAUUCUUCUGGUGUACAGAGGUUAUAUCCAUAUAUACGAAAUCUAUGCUCUCAUGGCCAGAAAAAGAGCAGUAUAGUUGUUACAGCUGUAAGUUUGUAUUGUGAAUAUACGUUGUGAAAAGUUAAUAAAUUUAAGCAGUAUCUUUACUGAAGUAGCACAGUUUUCUAUUUUGUUUUCAUGUGUUGCUCACUCUAAAUGUGAUACAUAUUCGAGAAACGAGUUAGAGUUUGUGCUUUUCUACAAGCCGUGUCCCAGUUCCUAAACUCCUUAAUGAAAGAACUCCAUAUACAUACACACAUAUGGAUAUAUAUCUACCAUCACAGUAGCUCGCUAAAGGAACUCAGGAAAUAUGUAUAGCAUUGUUGAACUUCUUAGUUUCAAUAAUGCUGAUUGCUGGAUUUGGUUGUUUGAUGAUUAGGAUGUUCCACGUAUGUACUUUUAAAACAUGCUCAUGCUAAUUUUGAUGUAAGGCUAAUGUCGUCACAUUUUUGGGCUUUUAUAUAGUAGAAAAGCUAGCUUUGUGAUUCAUCUGUUAUUCAUUGCUGUUUAGUUCUUAAGAAGUAGUAAAUUGGUUUUACUUUUGAUAUUGAUUGAGAUUUUAUUGAUUUGUAGCCAAUGACAGAAAUGAGUGUAGAGGCACCUUCUCAGCUUAAAAAGGCUGAGGGCUGUGUGGUAAGUGAUUCUGAACUUAUGCAUUACCAAUUGUAUAGCUCAAUUGGCUUACAAGUUUGAGUUGCAAAUAGAAUGUCGGAAGUUUGAGUUUGGUCUUUUCUGAUUUAUUAAUGUGAUGAACUGCGAUUAAUGAUCUCUUAUGCUAAAUUAUCUUCUGGUGAUUGUGCAGUCGGGAGUAGUUGAGGUUCACGAUGUAUGUUAAAGAAACAUAUCGGCUUGCUGUUGUUACAGUUGUAGUUAGCCAAAUGGUAUGCAAAUUGUAUAUAUUGCCUCUGAUUGCUGUGGCUAGGUCUGCUGACUGUUGUUGAAUAUUUUUGGCAUAUAUGAAUGUUUCCAGGUGCUUUUUCACUCUACAGAAGUUCAAGGGAAGUGCACUUCACAUCCGUUCAAAUUUAGUGGCUCAGAUUUGAAGGAUUUAUGUUUCAUGGAAAUUAUGUGACAUGUCUGAUAUUGACUAAAAUUUCACUAACUGGUUUCUCUUUAAAAUUAAUUCAGUAGGAUGAUGAUGAAUAUGCUUUGGGGGAAGAAAAUGAAACUCCUUAUGAAUGAUAUAAUGCCAAGUUGAUAAGUUAAUCAAUGAUCAGCUGAUCAAACUCUUAAUUCAAUUCAGAAUUCAGAUCUUCAUGCAAAUGCUUUUGAUUUUACAAAUGCUAUU